UACGUAGGGUGCGAGCGUUGUCCGGAAUUACUGGGCGUAAAGAGCUCGUAGGUGGUUUGUCGCGUUGUUCGUGAAAUCUCACGGCUUAACUGUGAGCGUGCGGGCGAUACGGGCAGACUAGAGUACUGCAGGGGAGACUGGAAUUCCUGGUGUAGCGGUGGAAUGCGCAGAUAUCAGCAGGAACACCCGUGGCGAAGGCGGCCACCUGGGCCUAACCUGACGCUGAGGCGCGAAGGCUAGGGGAGCGAACGGG
rnacentral:rRNA from 1 species